rnacentral:pre_miRNA from 1 species
AUUCCAUCCGUGCCCAGAUAGGCCGAGCCCGGCGUGCAAAGCUGUGUACAACAUGAAUGUUUUGUUCGUUCGGCUCGCGUUAUCUUGGCAUGGCCUGUUGU